rnacentral:lncRNA from 1 species
AAAACACCUCCUACAAAGUUUGACCAUCCUCAACUCAAGAUCCAAAUAAGCAGGAGAAAUAUUGUGACUUCUUUUUCACAGUUUCUUCUAUCCUUCUGUCUAGUGUAGCCUGUGCCUUGAGAGAAAAAAUGACAUUGAAGAACGCUUGGCAGAAUGUGUUUGUCCAAUGGGAGUGAUACAAAACUAAGCUCUCUCCUGCAGUGCAGACAAAAACAUGUCAAGUUGCAGCAUGGACAUAUAUCUCAGAGCAAUCUUUGGGACAAAAGAAGUGUUGGGAGGAAGCAAACGAUCACAACAAUGGACUGACAGUGGACCACCACGGUGCUAGAAGGCUAGAUGACACUGAAGAUCAAAGGCUAGAUGACACUGAGGAUUGGCAAAUAAGGCUGUGUCUGUCUGGCAACCUUUGGAGGUGGAUAGGAUAAUGAAUUUGGGAUGUAACGGAUAUGUAAUACAUGUGAAAAUAUAACCUGUUCAUUUCUUGGAGAUCAUUUCUUGGAGAGUUAUCUUGAUGCUACCCCAGGGUUGCCAAUAAAGAAUACCUUGCUUAAGGGUAACA